rnacentral:miRNA from 1 species
UACCUCAUUGAUCGGAAGGGAUUCCUUCCGGUCAAUGAGAUGUAACAACCUCAUCAAUCAGAAGGGAUUCCUUCCGGUCAAUGAGGUU